CUUAAGGGCACUGAAUAAUCCACCUAUGAAUUGAAAGCAAAAUUAUGAUGCAUAGUUUUGGAUAUUUAAAUCUUAGAUGAAUUUCCUCUUUCACUUCAGCAUAAUGAAUCUGAAAAAAUUAUUUUGAAAGAGAUGGGCUAUGAAUAGAGUCUUAAAAUAUCAGCUUUUACCAGUUUCUCAGAGUUUCUUUGAAUAUGCGCUCUGAAAGAAUUCAGCCCAACACGAGGGCCAGCUUCAGUAAACUGUAUUGCAAAUCUCAGAUCACGUGCUUCCUCCAUCACUGUUUCCUGGAUGUGAAGAUGUGAGCAGAUUGCUUCUACUUGGACCUUCCACCACGCCAGUUCUUUUGGAGCCGGCUGACCAUGGAAUGAACCUACUAAUACUGUGGGGCAAAAUACAGGAAACCUCUCCUCCUGCAAGCUGUGGCUGUGUGGCAUUGUGUCUGAGCAAUGGGAAAUAACUAACACAGUAGGCAUUUGAAUAUUCAAUUUUGUCUAAUAAAGCAAAGAAAGGGUGUC